UUUAUUUGGUGAUUGAGAAUGCUUAUGUGGGAAUCAGAAUAUGGAUUGCUUAUGAACAAUGUUCAUGUCUAGAUUUGUCAAGUUGCAGUGAUAGAUAAG